CCUACGGGAGGCAGCAGUGGGGAAUAUUGCACAAUGGGGGAAACCCUGAUGCAGCAACGCCGCGUGAAGGAUGAAGGUUUUCGGAUUGUAAACUUCUUUGAUUGGGGACGAAUAAUGACGGUACCCAAAAAACAAGCCACGGCUAACUACGUGCCAGCAGCCGCGGUAAU
rnacentral:rRNA from 1 species